GAAGCAUUCUGGCUGCUAAUCAGUACAUUGCAAGAUUCUCCCGACCAUCACGCCUGGCUCAUUCUUGCCUGGCUGCUAACUCCUUCUCUCCUCUCAGGACCUGUCAACUUCCAGGGGCUAGUCCCCAGCAGCUCAAUAGGGAGGGGAUAUGGCAGAGUGCACAAUCCUUUAGCCUAAUCAGAAGAGAAGAAAAUCAACAUUGCAAAUGCAAGUGCAGUAGAACACAGGGACUUUGGAACUUUGGGUACCAUUAGUGGAUCGUAAAGCCUUCCAAAGCUGGGUCUGUGUCUUAAUCACUUUGCACUAGCCAAAGCUGUGCAUGUAGUCAAUCUUAAGAAGACGCUGAAUGAUGGAUAAUAUCAUCUUUGCAGAAAUGACUGGCUCAUUUGCCAUUACCUGGCCACAUGUCUCUCUUCUAGCUUUGUGAAGGGUGAUUUACACCCCUGGCUGGAAUGACUCUCUUUCUGGGCUGAUUACAUCUGCAAAUGCCCCCCAGAGGCCGCAGCAGGAUGGCCAUAUUCAGACGAAGCAGCCAAUAAAUCUCAGAGGUAUAUUGUACUUCACAGUGCCUUCCCUCUUGGCCCUCUGCCAGUCGGGCUGUGGAAGGUGGGGGGGUGCUCAAGUUGAAGGGUUAGGAGACGAAGCCCUCCUCUUUCGUCACUCUUUACUCUUGUCCUUCUAGACUCUGCUAAAUUCUAAUUUUUUCCUAGUCAGUUUUUAGUCUGGAAACUGGUGGGAAUCAAGCCCAGGUCUGACAAUUCUCCUUGUUCUCACCAGUGCCACACUGUGUUCUAGACUUUGCAGUUCCUGGUUCAGCAGCUGGCUCACAAACCCUCAUCAUCUGAAAAUGGGCUCCUAAGUGAUGUCUCCAGUCACUCUCUUCGGUGAUUUGGAGGGGUCGGGGAGUGGUUGAGGGCAAGGUCUCCAGUCCAGACUGUUUUGCCUUUGAACUUGUGGUACUCCUACCUCUGCUUUCCAGUGUUGCGCUGGGGACUGAACCCAGAGCCCCACUCUAUCAACCAUGCUACAUCUUAGUUCUGGUUAAUGUUUGAUCUGGUUAGCAGGGACUGGGGGGAACUAAGAGUCACAGUGGGAGGAAUAUCCUUUUGACUACUGCUCUCAUAGGUCAAAGGGGAUUAAUCUUGGAGCAGCUGGAUUUACCAAAGCUCCUGAGACCUGCCCUGGUUAUGCUCCCCUCUGGCAUUUCACCAGUCUGGGACCAUUUUUCAGAAUCUUGAUUUUAAUAAUCACAAAACCUUACCCAUGGAAAUACUUACCAAGGACAAAUAAGAUAAUAGAUGUGCAAACUCUCUCUCUCUCUCUCUCUCUCUCUCUCUCUCUCUCUCUCUCUCU
rnacentral:lncRNA from 1 species